AACGAACUAUGCAAAACAGUUGGGAUGCUCUUCCUAAAGAGAUAGAGUCAGGCACCUCAAGGUUGCUGCACGCAUGGCCGAAAAACAGAACUUGCGUAGAGCACGUGCUUCUGGAUAAGGAAUUGGCCCACACAGCAGAGACAAAAGGCGAAAGGAAAGCCCAUGGCAGCGAACAUCACAUGCAAUGGGAAAUUCCGUGUCUUACCCUUGCCCAGUCCCCAGUCUGGCUCUUCCUCCUCGAUCCUCACCCUCCAAAUCCACCGGCACCAGGACCUCGGGGCGGCAUGGGAAGAGCAGUUGGGGAAGCAGCAGUUGACGUGGUGUCUCGGGCCUCGGGGCAGCGCUGUGACAGGUGAAGCGGUGUUGUGACGGGCGGCACCACAACAGACAACGUGGCCAUGGCUUCCGGCUCCAUGAUAGAUGGCGCUAAGGCGGAGGGCACGGGCCGCUUCUAGCUCCACUACUGAUGGUAUCGCGGCGAAGUGCGCGGGCCGCUACUGGCUCCACAGCAGGUGCACUAUGCCACAACUAGAGACUCCAAAUCGGUAAGCCGCCAUAGUGACCGAUCUUCAGUCACUAUAAUAUUAUAGUGACCGAUAUACCAAUUGCAGUAAGUGGUGUCUCUUAUUGGAACAAACAAUGAAAAUAUUAUUGGUGCUAGAAACCAUUAAAUCUUGUGGCUGCUUGCUCCGUACUUGAAGCUGCUGCAAUAGGAAUCCAUAGCGCCACGAGGACAGCGGAGUAGAUAGGCUUACUAGUUGAAGAGGAAAAAAAUUUUGGUGUCACAUCAGAUGUUUCGUAAGAUGUCGGAAGGGGUGUUUUGAUACUAAUAAAAAAACUAAUUACAUAACCCAGCUGGAAACUGCGAGACGAAUUUAUUAAGCAUAAUUAAUUUAUCAUUUGCACAUGUAGGUUAUUGUAGCACUUAAGGCUAAUCAUAGACUAACUAGGCUUAAAAGUUCCGUCUCAUGAUUUCCAACUAAAGUGUGUAAUUAUUUUAUUUUUUAUCUAUAUUUAAUACUCCAUGCAUAUAUCCAAACAUUUGAUGUUAUGGUAAUUUUUUUUAGGUUCAGAACUGAACAAGGCCUAGGUGGAGCGAAUCCAUGUGCAGCGGCGCGGUGGCCCUAACAAUUAUGCAUUGGGGAUGGCUGCUCUCUGGGCGACGAUGGCGGCUGUGGUGGUGACGAUGGCUGCAGAGUUAGUGCGGACGAUAGUGGCCACGAGGAUGGCCAUGGCAUUGGUGGGGAUAGCAGUUGCAGUGGUGAGCACCCUCAGCGACCGAACAGUGGUGGAGGUCGGGACUCAGAAUCGAGAUUCCAUGAGUUCUUUUUCUCCUUGAGAAACUUGAGCCUGUGGCGUCAGCUGUUGGGGUGGCCAGUGGGUGUGCUUAAGAUAGGGUUUUGGGUGUUAUGUCUCAUGAGCGGGCCACAAAGAGUAGUAUGUGCGCACGUGGAUUGUAAUAGAACCGUCUAAAUUAUAAGAGAUUAAGUCUAAUAGUGACCACUUUCGUAGUCAAACCAUCGAACUUAAGCCCAUAUAAUCCCGAUAGUCCGUGAAAUCUCAAAG
rnacentral:lncRNA from 1 species